rnacentral:rRNA from 1 species
GCUAAAGGGUGUUCGGGAGGCUACGCCGUAAAACAACCCCAUUUCUAAGGUUGACCUCGGAUCAGGUAGGGAUACCCGCUGAACUUAAGCAUAUCAAUAAC